CCUACGGGAGGCAGCAGUGGGGAAUUUUGGACAAUGGGCGCAAGCCUGAUCCAGCAAUGCCGCGUGCAGGAAGAAGGCCUUCGGGUUGUAAACCGCUUUUGUACGGAGCGAAAAAGCUCUCUCUAAUACAGGGGGCUCAUGACGGUACCGUAAGAAUAAGCACCGGCUAACUACGUGCCAGCAGCCGCGGUAAU
rnacentral:rRNA from 1 species